AGCCCAACUCCCUCCACAAUAGGCUGGAAGUACUGAACACCUUUUGGUGGAUGUGCAGAGUUAAUGUGAACGACCAGCCUCUGGACAGGCUGCAUCAUCCUCUGUUUCUGAAAGGCAGCUCAGUAACGGUCUGUUCUUCCUUACAGCUCCUGACACAGCUCUGAGCUCUCUGAGAGACUCAAUCCAGAGACCUGAUUAACACACACAUCCUCCACUGGUACAGCAGUCAAAUAUUCACAUCUCCAGUUAAACAAUAUCUGAAAAAAUAAGUUUCUACAACAAACCUUUCUAUUAAAGCCCCUAAAGAACUUGCUUUCAAAUCUUGAGUAUAACUAUAACAUGAAAGAGUCAUGAAGCAAAAAGCGACAUGAAAAAAGAAAAGUAAAAACAAAUGUA